UUGAACGCUGGCGGCAGGCCUAACACAUGCAAGUCGAACGGUAACAGGAAGAAGCUUGCUUCUUUGCUGACGAGUGGCGGACGGGUGAGUAAUGUCUGGGAAACUGCCUGAUGGAGGGGGAUAACUACUGGAAACGGUAGCUAAUACCGCAUAACGUCGCAAGACCAAAGAGGGGGACCUUCGGGCCUCUUGCCAUCGGAUGUGCCCAGAUGGGAUUAGCUAGUAGGUGGGGUAACGGCUCACCUAGGCGACGAUCCCUAGCUGGUCUGAGAGGAUGACCAGCCACACUGGAACUGAGACACGGUCCAGACUCCUACGGGAGGCAGCAGUGGGGAAUAUUGCACAAUGGGCGCAAGCCUGAUGCAGCCAUGCCGCGUGUAUGAAGAAGGCCUUCGGGUUGUAAAGUACUUUCAGCGGGGAGGAAUGGAGUAAAGUUAAUACCUUUGCUCAUUGACGUUACCCGCAGAAGAAGCACCGGCUAACUCCGUG
rnacentral:rRNA from 1 species